GGAGAAAGAGGAGGGAGAGAAAAAAAGGAGACGGUCGCUGUUCGGAGGAUGAUGAACCGGUUGAGAUUGUAUGCGUGUGUCCUCGAGAUCUGAACACACACAAACCACACACA